rnacentral:rRNA from 1 species
CGCCUCUUGACCCCCAAUAAGAGGUCCAGCCUGCCCAGUGACAUUGUUCAACGGCCGCGGUAUCCUAACCGUGCGAAGGUAGCGUAAUCACUUGUUCUUUAAUUGAGGACUAGUAUGAAUGGCUUCACGAGGACUAUACUGUCUCCUUUUUCUAAUCAAUGAAACUAAUCUCCCCGUGAAGAAGCGGGGAUAACUUUAUAAGACGAGAAGACCCUAUGGAGCUUUAAACAAUUGAAAUAUUUGCUUUUACUAACUACCUUCCGUGGCCUAAAUAUAYUUAAGCAUUAUUAAUUUCUAGUUUUAGGUUGGGGUGACCACGGAGUAAAAUUUAACCUCCACGCUGAAAGUAAAGCCUUCUUAGCAAAAAGCCACAUCUUUAUGCAUCACUAAACUGACUUACAUUGACCCAAUUAUUUGAUCAACGAACCAAGUUACCCUAGGGAUAACAGCGCAAUCUACCUCAAGAGCCCGUAUCGACAGGUAGGUUUACGACCUCGAUGUUGGAUCAGGGUGUCCUGGUGGUGCAGCCGCUACUAAAGGUUCGUUUGUUCAACGAUUAAAACCCU